rnacentral:rRNA from 1 species
GAUGAACGCUAGCGGGAGGCUUAACACAUGCAAGUCGAGGGGUAAAUGGUAGCAAUACUAUGAGACCGGCGGACGGGUGCGUAACGCGUAUGCAACAUACCUUGUGCAGGGGGAUAGCCCGUGGAAACGCGGAUUAAUAUUCCAUAGUCCAGCUAUAUCGCAUGGUAUAGUUGGUAAAGAUUUAUCGGCACAAGUUUGGCAUGCGUCUGAUUAGCUUGUUGGUAGGGUAACGGCCUACCAAGGCUACGAUCAGUAGGGGUUCUGAGAGGAUUAACCCCCACACUGGUACUGAGACACGGACCAGACUCCUACGGGAGCAGCAGUGAGGAUAUUGGUCAAUGGGCGCAAGCCUGAACCAGCCAUCCCGCGUGAAGGAGAAUGCGCUACGCGUUGUAAACUUCUUUUCCAGGGGGAAAUAAUCCUGUCGUGACAGGACUUGACGGUACUCUGGGAAUAAGCAUCGGCUAACUCCGUGCCAGCAGCCGCGGUAA